rnacentral:rRNA from 1 species
AAUACGUAGGCAGCGAGCGUUGUUCGGAGUUACUGGGCGUAAAGCGUGCGUAGGCGGUGGUCCAAGUCUGGUGUGAAAUCUCCCGGCUCAACUGGGAGGGUGCGCCGGAAACUGGGCCGCUGGAGUGCGGGAGAGGCAAGCGGAAUUCCAGGUGUAGCGGUGCAAUGCGUAGAUAUCUGGAGGAACACCCGUGGUGCAGACGGCUUGCUGGACCGUGACUGACGCUGAGGCACGAAAGCGUGGGUAGCAAACAGGA